rnacentral:rRNA from 1 species
AGCGAACGCUGGCGGCAGGCCUAACACAUGCAAGUCGAACGAACCUUUCGGGGUUAGUGGCGGACGGGUGAGUAACACGUGGGAACGUGCCUUUAGGUUCGGAAUAACUCAGGGAAACUUGUGCUAAUACCGAAUGUGCCCUUCGGGGGAAAGAUUUAUCGCCUUUAGAGCGGCCCGCGUCUGAUUAGCUAGUUGGUUGAGGUAAUGGCUCACCAAGGCGACGAUCAGUAGCUGGUCUGAGAGGAUGAUCAGCCACAUUGGGACUGAGACACGGCCCAAACUCCUACGGGAGGCAGCAGUGGGGAAUCUUGCGAAAUGGGGGAAAGCCUGACGCAGCCAUGCCGCGUGAAUGAUGAAGGUCUUAGGAUUGUAAAAUUCUUUCACCGGGGACGAUAAUGACGGUACCCGAAGAAGAAGCCCCGGCUAACUUCGUG